CAUAAACAUUCAAAUAGGUACAUGUACAUAAAGUGUAUAGAAGCACGCGAGCGUGAUUUGAUUCUACGAUAUUAACUCUUGACUGUUACUGAAUGUUCUUAGCUUAUUAGGUUAGGUGCUACACUGCGGCAUAAACUCAUUGUAUUACAAGUUGUGAUGUUGGUACACGUAAAGCGGCGUGCCGCAAGACCGCGCAGGAUGCGUUCCGGAAACUCAUUUUGAGACAAAGGAGCAGCACGACGACCCCACGUAAUCUUAGCAGGGUAAUGGCGCCGGUUCGUUUAAUUUCGCUGAGUGUGCUCAAAAGGCAACGUGUCGCCGCGCGACCUAUGAACGGUGGGAGGUAAAAAGACGUUCCGUAGAAGAAGGCGAAAGACCGUGUAAUUUCAUGAGAUUUCGCUUUAAAGAGGAAAAAAAAAAGGCGGUAAGAAAGAUUGAUGAGCAAAAGCGUUCAAAUUUCUUUGAUUUGUUACUCCACACUUGUUACGAGGUAAGCGCGAUAGUCCUUUGCUCUGUUUUGUAGGUUAGAACGCAUUUGAAAGUUCUAACGGAAACUUCAAGGAGUUACGGCGGUGAUCAUAUAAGUUUAACAAUGGAAUUCAAUUUUCUCUGCUAUCAGUUAUGAAGUCCCUGUUGGUUUGUGAAAAAACUAAAUUGAAAGACCCACAGGCGAAGUCAGGAGAAAGGUCUUCGAUAUGAAAUUGUCGUUUCCAUCGCAAUUCUCUUUAUUCCCAAGUGAGGGUCUCUAAAAUGACGUAAUAUGUGAAAACAAAGCGAUGCUAUUUCUCGUGGGAGAUUUAACUGUACGUCUCGGUGAUUGCAGGAUGGUUUUGUAUCCUUGAGGAUUAUUCGACUUCUCGAACAUUGCGUCAUGACAGAGGGAAACCGUUUCGCCUAUUUAAUCUUAGAGAAGUGGCUAAUCGCAUCCAGGGAGAACUAGUGAAUAAAAUUAACCAACCUCGAAUGAAGAUCAUUGUGCGGAUAUACAAGAAAGGUACAAGAUAAGAGCAAUAAUGAAUUCUAUUGUACGUAGCAAAAUCGAGUCACUGGCUAAAUUGGGAUACGAUCCAGUAAUUCAAUUAAGAUGAAAUGGUCUAGAAUAACGUAGAAUUGCACUUGUCCCCCUUAACUGUAAAGAUUUAUCGAUUUUACCUGGAAGGUUAAUUUUACAUAUCUCUAUCUUUGGAGAUCUAAAAACAACAUGGUGGCAUGCACCAAUUUGUGAAGUCUGACUGACUGCUGAAUUAUUGGAAUUUCCUAGAUUCUAUGUCAAUAUGUAUAUAUACAUUUUUAUACUAUA